AUUUUUAUAGUUCGGAUUUGGUUAUUUCGGAUCGGGUUCGAAUAUUUAGAUUUUAAAAGAAAAAAAAUUAAAAUUUUCAUUUCCCAAAUUUUUUGUAUUUAAAAAUCUUUCACUUAACUAAUUUUUAUUUUUUAAUAGAUUGAAUGGUUAAUAGAUUUAGACACAACAUUUUGAAACUAAAAAGACAUUAAUUUGGUUAUUGUUUUUACAUUUUAGAUGUAACUUUUUGUUAAUUCUUGAAAUA
rnacentral:lncRNA from 1 species